rnacentral:lncRNA from 1 species
GAUUAGUAAUCAUUACCUAGGAGUCUUCAGAGGAAAGAGAAAGCAAAAUAAGGACAAAGGCUUGGUGCAUACAACAGCAGCUGCUUCUGUUUUAACAGCUACAUGUGGGCUGUGACUUUAUGCAGUACAAAUUAAACAAAUUCCAAUGAAAGAUUUCUAAGGGUAUUUACAUCGUAUAUAAGAAAUAGUCGACACUGAAAGAAUUUGAUACAACAGAUAGAUGAAGUAAAAGAAGUUAGGGCCAAAUAGAGGCAGUGGGCAAAUGUUCUCACAGGCUGGCCUUUUCAUUACCAUUCAGGUCUUCCUUCUUCCUAAGACUGCUGCAGAAAGCCAGUCCCCAUGAGUCCUGUACAUGAAAAUGGACAAGUCUUCAUACCCAAAAACUCUACAGAGCAACGUCCUGCUUCUAAGGGAGUGGUGCUAAUUGGAACCUGGUGUGGCUGUUCCCUGGGAGGUUCUGCCAGCACCUGACCAAUGCAGAUGUGGAAGCUUGGAGCCAAUCAUCAGACUGACCUAGGGGACCCCAGUGGGGAAGCUGGCUGAAGGACUGGAGGAGCGGAGGGGGAUUGCAACCUUAUAGGAAGAACCAUGUCGACUGUCUGGACCACCCAAUGCUCCCAGGAACUAGACCACCAACCAAUGAGGGUA